rnacentral:rRNA from 1 species
ACCCGCUGAACUUAAGCAUAUCAAUAAGCGGAGGAAAAGAAAACUAACAAGGAUUCCCCUAGUAACGGCGAGUGAAGCGGGAAGAGCUCAAAUUUGAAAUCUGGUGGCCUCAGGUCAUCCGAGUUGUAAUCUAUAGAAGUGUUUUCCGUGCUGGCUCAUGUACAAGUCCCUUGGAACAGGGCGUCAUAGAGGGUGAGAAUCCCGUCCUUGACAUGAACUACCAGAGCUCUGUGAUACAUUUUCAACGAGUCGAGUUGUUUGGGAAUGCAGCUCAAAAUGGGUGGUAAAUUCCAUCUAAAGCUAAAUAUUGGCGAGAGACCGAUAGCGAACAAGUACCGUGAGGGAAAGAUGAAAAGCACUUUGGAAAGAGAGUUAAACAGUAUGUGAAAUUGUUGAAAGGGAAACGAUUGAAGUCAGUCGUGCUCUUUGGAUUCAGCCGGUUCUGCCGGUGUACUUCCUUUGAGUGGGGUCAACAUCAGUUUUGAUCGCUGGAUAAAGGCUGGAGGAACGUAGUACCCUCGGGUAAACUUAUAGCCUCCUGUCACAUACAGUGGUUGGGACUGAGGAACGCAGCACGCCUUUAUGGCCGGGAUUCGUCCACGUACGUGCUUAGGAUGUUGACAUAAUGGCUUU